GUAGGUGGCAAGCGUUGUCCGGAAUUAUUGGGCGUAAAGCGCGCGCAGGCGGUCCUUUAAGUCUGAUGUGAAAGCCCACGGCCCAACCGUGGAGGGUCAUUGGAAACUGGGGGACUUGAGUACAGAAGAGGAAAGCGGAAUUCCAAGUGUAGCGGUGAAAUGCGUAGAGAUUUAGAGGAACACCAGUGGCGAAGGCGGCUUUCUGGUCUGUAACUGACGCUGAGGCGCGAAAGCGUGGGGAGCAAACAGGAUUAGAUACCCUGGUAGUCCACGCCGUAAACGAUGAGUGCUAAGUGUUAGGGGGUUUCCCGCCCCCUUAGUGCUGCAGCUAACGCAUUAAGCACUCCGCCUGGGGGAUACGGCCGCAAGGCUG
rnacentral:rRNA from 1 species